GUUUUGCCUUCUCAAUCACGAAAACUCUCUAUAUAUUGAACCUCAGCUCGAUUUCUUGCUGACCAGCUCCCUCUCUCUCUCUCUCUCUCUCUGUGUACACUCUUAACUGUUGUUGAUUCUGACGUAUCGCAAUCAGAGAGGUGAACCCCCAAUUAGAGAGAUAUUGAUUCACAUAUAUCAUCAUGGCUCCAGCAGCGGCAGCAGAUUCAAUAAAGCCUAGAGAUGUUUGUGUUGUUGGUGUUGCACGUACCCCUAUGGGUGGAUUUCUUGGCACUCUUUCAUCUUUACCAGCCACUAAGCUUGGAUCUGUAGCUAUUGAAAGUGCUCUUAAAAGGGCUAAUGUUGAUCCAUCACUUGUACAAGAAGUUUUCUUUGGCAAUGUUCUCAGUGCAAAUUUGGGGCAGGCUCCUGCUAGGCAAGCAGCAUUAGGUGCAGGGAUACCUAAUACAGUAAUCUGUACCACCGUUAAUAAAGUUUGUGCAUCUGGGAUGAAAGCAACUAUGCUUGCAGCACAGAGUAUCCAGUUGGGCAUCAAUGAUGUUGUUGUGGCUGGUGGCAUGGAAAGCAUGUCUAAUGUCCCAAAAUACCUAGCUGAAGUGAGGAAGGGAUCCCGACUUGGACACGAUUCUGUUGUUGAUGGUAUGCUCAAAGAUGGAUUGUGGGAUGUUUAUAAUGAUUAUGGAAUGGGGGUUUGUGCUGAAUUAUGUGCAGAACAACAUACAGUAACAAGAGAAGAGCAGGAUGAUUAUGCUGUUCAGAGCUUUGAGCGUGGUAUUGCGGCUCAAAAUGGUGGUGCCUUUGCAUGGGAAAUAGUUCCGGUUGAGGUUUCUGGAGGAAGAGGAAAACCAUCAACAAUUGUUGAUAAGGAUGAAGGUCUAGGAAAGUUUGACGCUGCUAAGUUGAGGAAGCUCCGACCGAGUUUCAAGGAGAAUGGAGGUUCUGUCACUGCUGGCAAUGCUUCUAGCAUAAGUGAUGGUGCUGCUGCAUUAGUCUUAGUGAGUGGAGAGAAGGCACUUAGGCUUGGGUUGCAAGUGAUUGCAAAGAUCACAGGAUAUGCUGAUGCUGCACAGGCACCAGAAUUAUUUACGACUGCUCCAGCCCUUGCAAUACCAAAAGCUAUUUCAAAUGCUGGUUUGGAGGCUUCUCAGGUUGAUUACUAUGAAAUAAAUGAAGCCUUUGCAGUUGUGUCUCUUGCAAAUAUGAAAUUGCUGGGACUUAACCCAGAAAAAGUGAAUGUGCAUGGUGGAGCUGUAUCUUUGGGCCAUCCUCUCGGUUGCAGUGGAGCCCGUAUCUUGGUCACACUUUUGGGGUGUAAUUUUUAGGUAUUGAAGCAGAAGAAUGGAAAAUAUGGAGUUGGCGGUGUUUGCAAUGGUGGAGGAGGUGCAUCAGCCCUCGUUGUAGAACUUGUGUAAUCUUUUUAUGGUGUUUGGCCAAAUUAUGAGUGUGGAGCUUUGCAAAGAUGAAUCCUCCAUUGCUCUCUCUCUCUCUCUCUUUCUCAUGUUAAGAUCAAUGUUCAAUCUUUUCCAUUUAUCAUUUCCAAUAUGAGCAUCAAUGAAUUGUAUUGUUUUAUUUAGGAAAAAAAGGGUGGAUUCAAUCUUCUUCUCCUCUGGGGACUUGAUCUACCAUGUUAUGUUUGCUUGAUAGAAGAGAUGAGAUUUGUGAUCUCUAUUGCAUGAACUGUGCUGUGUUAGCUUUACAAUUGGAUUUUAUCAUUAGAUAUAUGAAAAUAAGAUAGGAUAAUGUUAUAUAAA